UACGUAGGGUCCAAGCGUUAUCCGGAAUCACUGGGCGUAAAGCGUGCGUAGGUGGAUGUUUAAGUGUGAUGUUAAAUCGUGUGGCUCAACCCUAUCGAUGCAUCGCAUACUGGACGUCUAGAGGACAGCAGAGGCAAGUGGAAUUUGUAGUGUAGCAGUGAAAUGCGUAGAUAUUACAAGGAACACCAAUGGCGAAGGCAGCUUGCUGGGCUACUCCUGACACUGAGGUACGAAAGCGUGGGGAGCGAACAGG
rnacentral:rRNA from 1 species